AGCUCCUGAGAACUUGUCUGACCCCUCAGUCCAACUCUGCCUCCACCACCUGCAGGGAUAGUGAGCACUGGUCAGAACCCACUCUGACCCACCUGAAUCCUUCUAUGGAUAAGCCUGCCCAGAAACACAUCAGGAUAUGUCAGUGGAGAUGUCACUCCAUCUCCUCUGCUGCCCAUUGCCACAGCAGAGGGACUGAAGACAACAAAGAAAGGACAGCAAUUCCCAGCCAUGGAAGUGAUGGGAUGAGGGCAGUAAAAACCCUGGAAACUUGGCAUGAGAACCUCUGAGAUGCACAGCCAGCUCCAAAGCAGCAGUGGGACACUUCAGACACAGAAGCAGUUGGAGCUCUCUGACUGUAGCCUGCACAUCAGCAGCCCUUUCAGCUUCCCCCCCUGCUUCCUGAUCCUGAAGAGAUUAAUAUAUAUUUAAUCAGAUUGAACAGAAA